GCCGUGGCCUACUGGUUAGCGCUUCGGACUUGUAACCGGAGGGUUGCCGGUUCGAACCCCGACCAGUGGGCA
rnacentral:tRNA from 1 species